rnacentral:tRNA from 1 species
GCGCUUGUAGCUCAGCAUGGAUUAGAGCGUAGCCCUGCGAAGGCUGAGGUCGUGGGUUCAAGUCCCACCAAGCGCGCCA